rfam:Gossypium hirsutum cultivar TM-1 chromosome 13, whole genome shotgun sequence
UGUUAAAAAUUUCUUCAAUUUGUACCGUUAGAAAUUGGCGUAGUUGACAGAAUAACCAGAUAGUUAUACCUGACAUGCCAUACGUACCUCAUGCUGGUGUUUAGGGACCAAUUUUUAACAAUAGAAAUGGAUGAAGUUUUAAUA